GCGCCCGUAGCUCAGAUGGAUAGAGCAGCGGACUUCUAAUCCGCAGGUCAGAGGUUCGAAUCCUCUCGGGCGCGCCA
rnacentral:tRNA from 1 species